GCUUCAGACAGGUUUCCUGCACUAAUAG
rnacentral:sRNA from 1 species